GUGCUCCCUUUGGCAACACAUACACUAAAAUUGGAACAAUACAGAGAAGAUUAACGUGGUCCUUGUGCAAGGAUGACAUGCAAAUUUGUGAAGCAUUCCAUAUUUUU